rnacentral:rRNA from 1 species
GAUGAACGCUGGCGGCGUGCCUAAUACAUGCAAGUCGAGCGAACAGACGAGGAGCUUGCUCCUCUGACGUUAGCGGCGGACGGGUGAGUAACACGUGGAUAACCUACCUAUAAGACUGGGAUAACUUCGGGAAACCGGAGCUAAUACCGGAUAACAUGUUGAACCGCAUGGUUCAACAGUGAAAGACGGUCUUGCUGUCACUUAUAGAUGGAUCCGCGCCGCAUUAGCUAGUUGGUAAGGUAACGGCUUACCAAGGCAACGAUGCGUAGCCGACCUGAGAGGGUGAUCGGCCAUACUGGAACUGAGACACGGUCCAGACUCCUACGGGAGGCAGCAGUAGGGAAUCUUCCGCAAUGGGCGAAAGCCUGACGGAGCAACGCCGCGUGAGUGAUGAAGGUCUUCGGAUCGUAAAACUCUGUUAUUAGGGAAGAACAAAUGUGUAAGUAACUAUGCACGUCUUGACGGUACCUAAUCAGAAAGCCACGGCUAACUACGUG